UACGUAGGGUGCAAGCGUUAAUCGGAAUUACUGGGCGUAAAGCGUACGCAGGCGGCUAUGUAAGACAGGUGUGAAAUCCCCGGGCCUAACCUGGGAACUGCAUUUGUGACUGCAUAGCUAGAGUCCGUCAGAGGGGGGUAGAAUUCCACGUGUAGCAGUGAAAUGCGUAGAGAUGUGGAGGAACACCGAUGGCGAAGGCAGCCCCCUGGGUCAAGAUUGACGCUCAUGCACGAAAGCGUGGGGAGCAAACAGG
rnacentral:rRNA from 1 species